rnacentral:tRNA from 1 species
GCCGAGAUAGCUCAGUUGGGAGAGCGUUAGACUGAAGAUCUAAAGGUCCCUGGUCGAUCCCGGUCUCGGCA